rnacentral:rRNA from 1 species
UACGUAGGGGGCAAGCGUUGUCCGGAUUUAUUGGGCGUAAAGAGCGUGUAGGCGGCCAUGUAGGUCCGGUGUGAAAACUCGAGGCUUAACCUCGAGAUGUCAUCGGAAACCAUUUGGCUAGAGUCCGGAAGAGGAGAGUGGAAUUCCUGGUGUAGCGGUGAAAUGCGCAGAUAUCAGGAGGAACACCAAUGGCGAAAGCAGCUCUCUGGGACGGUACUGACGCUGAGACGCGAAAGCGUGGGGAGCGAACAGG